CAAUAGCGUAUAUUUAAGUUGUUGCAGUUAAAAAGCUCGUAGUUGGAUUUCGGGUGGGACGCAGUGGUCUCGCAUUGCGUUUGUACUGCUGCAGCCCUCCUUCUUGCCGGGGGCGGCCUCUCGGACUUCACUGUCUGGGGGUCAGAAUCGGCGAUGUUACUUUGAGUAAAUUAGAGUGUUCAAAGCAAGCUUACGCUCUGAAUAUAAUAGCAUGGGAUAACACGACAGGACUCUGGCCUAUCGUGUUGGUCUAUAGGACCAGAGUAAUGAUUAAGAGGGACAGUCGGGGGCAUUCGUAUUCCGUUGUCAGAGGUGAAAUUCUUGGAUUUACGGAAGACGAACAUCUGCGAAAGCAUUUGCCAAGGAUGUUUNCAUUGA
rnacentral:rRNA from 1 species